rnacentral:rRNA from 1 species
AUUGAACGCUGGUGGCAUGCUUAACACAUGCAAGUCGAACGGUAACAGAGCUAGCUUGCUAGCUGCUGACGAGUGGCGGACGGGUGAGUAACGCGUAGGAAUCUACCUACUGGAGGGGAUACCAUCUGGAAACGGAUGCUAAUAACCGCAUAAUACCUAAGGGUUAAAGGUGGCCUUGUGCUGCCGCCAGCUGAUGAGCCUGCGUUGGAUUAGCUAGUUGGUGAGGUAAGGGCUCACCAAGGCUACGAUCCAUAGCUGAUUUGAGAGGAUGAUCAGCCACAUUGGGACUGAGACACGGCCCAAACUCCUACGGGAGGCAGCAGU